ACGGGUUGCAUUUGUUUUAUUCUGAAGGGCAAGAUUUUAUGAAGGUUCUCAACUGGUGGCAGAUUCUGGAGUAACUGUAGACACUACCAUGCGUGGAGGAAGACUUGGUGUUUUCUGCUUCUCUCAGGAAAACAUUAUUUGGUCCAACCUGAAAUAUCGCUGCAAUGACACCAUCCCAGAGGACUUUCAGGAAUUUCAAGCUCAGCAGCUUGGAGUUGGAGAUAUUUAACACAGAAAGCAAACUGACGUUGCUAUUUCAAACAGUAAAGCAAUACUUUAAAUCCUUAUAUGAUUUUUUUUUGUAAGAGUGCACACUGCAGCUCCUUGUGGUUGAUAUAACUGUCAGACUUUUAUAUGUAAAUAUGAAAAUAAAAAGGAGAUAAAAUAG